GGAUCGAUGAUGAUUCCAAGUCAAACAUUCCUUCGAAAAGCUGAAUAAAAUGAUUGAAAACUCCCUACCAUUUCUCUCAUCAUAAUUGAGGUCC
rnacentral:snoRNA from 1 species